rnacentral:ncRNA from 1 species
AUAAUAAUCAGGGAACAGGCGGCCGGUAUUCUUCCGGUGCAGCCGGGCGAAGCAGCAGUGGGUAGUAACCUGCGAGACCUUA